rnacentral:lncRNA from 1 species
UAACCCCAGGGACUAAAGUUGUCUUUUAGCUUAAACCUUAAUCCCCUUCUCCUUUAAUAAAAAAAAAGAAACCCUACCUUUUCAUUCUUGCAGCCGACACCAUCUUGUUCCCUCUCAAUUCCUUUUAUCUUCAACUUACGAACAUGUAAUACACACACAAACUCCUUGUUACACCCAUCUCCUUCAAACAUAACAGCAAAUCCUAACCAUGUCAGCCGGUUCUCCGGCGCCCAGCUUCUCCGACAAGCACCACGUCCCCUCUUCGUCGUAAACAUACCGCACAACACCAUAACAUUCUUUUCGGUUAGCCUACAACUUGCCGAAAUGAUCUCGGAAACCACCGUUCACCUUCACCACCUCGUUCGAACCCCCUUACAGCUUGUCGGAAACCUGCGCGUCCAUCGUCGGAACCGGGAGCUCUCACCGGAGUAAACCACAAGUCGCCGGAGAUACGAGAAGACGACCAGAAAUUCUGCACCUCGCGGGAGUUCACAGAUCGCAUCGGGGUUUCGCGGACGCCUCCCUUCACUCGUUCGGUAUACAGUUAUGUCUCUCGUUCGUUCUCUUGGGAACCCCAAAUUCUUACUCGUGCGUUAUUUCAAGAAAUCGCAACGCAAUCACUGUUGACAGUCAAGAUGUUGAAGAAUCAAGUUAGGAUGGACUAGAUACUCAUUUUAAUAAUAAACCAUGUUUGUUGCAAAUUGUCUUUAUUUGAAACAAUGUAUUUGAAUUUAGUCAUUUAUGAAAUUUGAUUUAAUCUAUAUUGUCACAAAUAGUGUUAUGAUGCUUUUGAGCGAUUUGUUCGUCUCAUCCCGAUGUUUCCGCCAUCGGUUGGGGUGUG